GUGUGUUAUUAGUUUAAGCAGACUGUGAUUGUCUAUUGUUGUGACUUAGAUGAUGAUCAGAUCACAUUUUAUGACCAAUUUGUGCAGAAAUCCAUAUCAUUCCAAAGGGUUCACAUACUUUUUCUUGCAACUGUAUUUCGCUAUGUUUUCUAGGGGAUACCACUCCGAGGAUCUCGGGUGUUGUAAGGUGUCGGGAUCAAACAGCGGUUCGCC